rnacentral:tRNA from 1 species
AGCAGCAUGGCGCAGUGGUAGCGCGCGGGGCCCAUAACCCCUAGGUCACUUGAUCGAAACAAGUUGCUGCUA